rnacentral:lncRNA from 1 species
CAGCUUCAUAUGGACAGCGCGGUGUCGUUGAAACCCGAGAACAACGCAGACAUUACCAUGAAAGGCCCUAAGCGGAAAGUGCCAGCCGAGCACGACACCGCACGGUACGACAGCUCGCAGCAUCCCCAGCAGCCCCCAACAUAACACAGCACAGCACAGCACGAUGGGCCUUAGUACAUGCAUAACCCAGCACAAGAAGCACAUCCUCCACAGGAUGGCAAAGGCUGGAGGAAAUCAGCGGCAAGUACAGCUUUUUGGGCUCCAUGAUGCCCUUUAGCGUUCCCUGAUCGGCUGGGCUCACUUCACUUCAAUGCAACCUGGGUGGAAAGCAUCUUGGGGGGCUUGCCAGCGCCUCACCAGGCUGAGGCACCAGCGGCGAGCCAGUGGUGUCGACGUAGCGUCUGCGCAAAAAUGGGGACACCACAGGGGAGGUAACGGGGGGAUUUAUGCGGCGCACGUGCUCGCUGGCCGAAACACCGAAGUCCCUGUGGCCACUCAGGGCGAUGCAGCUUUUGAACCCGGCCGAAUCGGAUAGCCCGUGAAAGGAGGCCACGUGCUUCAUGCAACUGAAGUUAUUCAGCGUGUUGCAUGGUCGCGAGCAGAAAUGCAAAAGGGGGUUAAUGUUUCCUUGCUAAGGAAAUUGGACGUGAUGUUUGCUUUGCUCCGUAAACCCCAGAACUUUGGCAUGUCGUCCCCGCGUUUAGGUUAUCUUCGAAUGGCAAAAAGAGCGUCAUUGUCUGCUGAUUACCUUUGGGGAGCAUGCACGUGCCGAUUGAAAGAACCGGUAUCGUAAAGUACAGCGCAAUCCAGCAAGUAAAAGACGAACCUGUCUACAUUUAUGAUUUGCACUCUAUUACGUUGCUUGCUCACGCUUUUCGAUUAGCUUGUUACGCUUUUGAGCUGGUCAGUCUUUUUGUAUUCCCGCAAAUGCUCGCUCGGUUGGGGCUUUCGGCUAGGGGCUCCUCCUCUGGGGGUGCCGGCAUGCUUCAACAUGUAAGCGUAUCGUAGCUUACCGCUUUUGCAUUUGCUGCCUAAGAUGGGUCCGUCCGUCGCCGAUUGCUAUUUGCUAUAGCACGUGCCGUUCGACACAGGCAAGGGGGUUGAUUACCAGUUAUCUUCCAUCGCCAGGAGAUGCGGCUCCACAAGUGGUGAGUAUAUCCCUAAGCACUCGGGCUGAAAGGGCAUCCCGGCCAAACGCGUACAUCAUGCCGCCCUCGUUUAGACGACGACGCACUGCUCGCUUACCUGGCUCGCUUACAUUGGUUCCAUUUAAAUUUCAGCACGUAACUUCAUAAAGAGACAGG